AGAGUUUGAUCCUGGCUCAGAACGAACGCUGGCGGCGUGGAUAAGACAUGCAAGUCGAACGAGAGAAUUGCUAGCUUGCUAAUAAUUCUCUAGUGGCGCACGGGUGAGUAACACGUGAGUAACCUGCCCCCGAGAGCGGGAUAGCCCUGGGAAACUGGGAUUAAUACCGCAUAGUAUCGAAAGAUUAAAGCAGCAAUGCGCUUGGGGAUGGGCUCGCGGCCUAUUAGUUAGUUGGUGAGGUAACGGCUCACCAAGGCGAUGACGGGUAGCCGGUCUGAGAGGAUGUCCGGCCACACUGGAACUGAGACACGGUCCAGACACCUACGGGUGGCAGCAGUCGAGAAUCAUUCACAAUGGGGGAAACCCUGAUGGUGUGACGCCGCGUGGGGGAAUGAAGGUCUUCGGAUUGUAAACCCCUGUCAUGUGGGAGCAAAUUAAAAAGAUAGUACCACAAGAGGAAGAGACGGCUAACUCUGUGCCAGCAGCCGCGGUAAUACAGAGGUCUCAAGCGUUGUUCGGAAUCACUGGGCGUAAAGCGUGCGUAGGCUGUUUCGUAAGUCGUGUGUGAAAGGCGCGGGCUCAACCCGCGGACGGCACAUGAUACUGCGAGACUAGAGUAAUGGAGGGGGAACCGGAAUUCUCGGUGUAGCAGUGAAAUGCGUAGAUAUCGAGAGGAACACUCGUGGCGAAGGCGGGUUCCUGGACAUUAACUGACGCUGAGGCACGAAGGCCAGGGGAGCGAAAGGGAUUAGAUACCCCUGUAGUCCUGGCAGUAAACGGUGCACGCUUGGUGUGCGGGGAAUCGACCCCCUGCGUGCCGGAGCUAACGCGUUAAGCGUGCCGCCUGGGGAGUACGGUCGCAAGAUUAAAACUCAAAGAAAUUGACGGGGACCCGCACAAGCGGUGGAGUAUGUGGCUUAAUUCGAUGCAACGCGAAGAACCUUACCUGGGCUUGACAUGUAAUGAACAACAUGUGAAAGCAUGCGACUCUUCGGAGGCGUUACACAGGUGCUGCAUGGCCGUCGUCAGCUCGUGUCGUGAGAUGUUUGGUUAAGUCCAGCAACGAGCGCAACCCCUGUUGCCAGUUACCAGCACGUGAAGGUGGGGACUCUGGCGAGACUGCCCAGAUCAACUGGGAGGAAGGUGGGGACGACGUCAGGUCAGUAUGGCCCUUAUGCCCAGGGCUGCACACGUACUACAAUGCCCAGUACAGAGGGGGCCGAAGCCGCGAGGCGGAGGAAAUCCUGAAAACUGGGCCCAGUUCGGACUGUAGGCUGCAACCCGCCUACACGAAGCCGGAAUCGCUAGUAAUGGCGCAUCAGCUACGGCGCCGUGAAUACGUUCCCGGGUCUUGUACACACCGCCCGUCA
rnacentral:rRNA from 1 species